ensembl:antisense
AGAACUUUGGUGUCGUCUGUGCUUUGGAUAACUUCAAGUGACUCCCCAGGUUUUAUCUGUAGAUCUCUCGCUCCCCACUUUUUAGAAGUUAAGGAGGAUGAAACUUUAGUUGAAUAUAGAACUCGAAUUUCACCAUCGUACUGUAAAAAAAGAGUGGACCCCUCCCUUGAGAACACGUCUUUCUAUAUUUAACCUAUGAGAAAUUUCCAAACAGUGACUGGCCUAAGCCAAAUAUUGCCAAAUGGGAUUAGGAGCCCACAGGUGAGAGAUUCCAAACUCUCAAAAGAGCCUGCCUUUCUCCCUGUCAACUGCCUACCAAAGUACCAUAGCUGCUUUCCAUAGACCGUUUAGCACCCAGCCAUGCAUGAUUUGGAAAACCCUGGCGAGACACUGCUGAUGACAUUGUAAGAUGAUCCUCUACUUACUUCAGGUUGAAGACAGUAGCUCAUUAUCUUUCGUCUAAUGUCAAUUUUAGGACCAAGGAGAUAGCUCAGUAUGAUUUAGUGUUUGCUGUGGAAGCACAGGACCUGAGUUCAAAUCCCCAGUGACUACUUAAAAAGGGCAUGAAGGUAAUUUUACACAGCAUUUUCAGUUUACCCAAGGAGGUCGGGUGGGAGGCUGACCGAUGGGUGAUUAGGUGAAGAAGCUUGCUGCCAGUGACGUCAAAAGUGCCCUUGUAUCUUCAGUCAUGAGACUAUGUCAUUCUGUCUGUAACCUUUAUAGCACUCUUCUUUUCACACUUGGUUAUCUGUCUACUGGUAUGGUCUAUUCUUCCAACUAGAAGUUAUUUGUUAUAGAGGCAAAACCCCAUGUAUAUAGUUCUUGUAUUUUUGGGUAUAAGCACAUAGUCGGGAGUCACUAAAUGUUGAAUGGGUCUAUGAAUGAGCAAAUGGUUUUCUGGGGGAAAGAAAGAGGAAGUCACCCUCUGCUGGAGACAUCCACUCUUACUUUGAACCAUAGAGUUUUACCACACUAAAUUAUAUUAGGCAAAUUAUUAGAUCUAGAUCUAUGGCAAUAAUUUGCCUCCCCUGGCAUAAAUAAGAAGCAUGCUUAGUAGACGGGUUCUAACAAUCUGGUAGAAGGAUUCUGCUUUCAAAUGCCCUUGGAUAUAGCUCAGAGAUCUUGCUUAGAACAUCAGAGAGUUCUUGUACAAGUGACUUAUGGGCACUUUGUGUUCUAGGAGUGAACUUUGUUGUCUCCUCUUGUGGGAUGGAGAUCAUCCAGUCAGGUAGCAGUAACGUUGCUAGUUUGAUAGAACUAUAAAUUGUGACAUAAAGACAAGUUUUAAGUAGGUUUUUCAAAAUAACUAAAAAAAAAAAAAAAACCCUGGAAAUAACAUUCACCCAUUUUGUUUUACUGUACUGAGGACAGCAGAUCUUUAACUCUGGGCCCAUGAUUGGCAGCAUCAACAUCAAUUGAGAACCUAUGAGGAGGACCAAAGCUCAGGCCUAUUGCAGCCCCACUGAGUCAGACACGCAGUGUCUGAGCCUGCAGCUGCCUUCUGCAGGUUUUCCCGGGAGAGGCGCACACUGAGAUCUGAGCAGCAGCUCUGUCGUCCACACUGUGUUACCCAAAGUCCAGCGUGAGGAUGUUCAAAUUCAAGCCUAUGGGACAGGAGCAACUCCAUGAAGCACUUGCCCCGCAAAGGUGGACAACUGGCUGCCUGAACCCCACCACUGCCCACUCUCCCUUCUUCGCCAAUACCUAUUUUGACUCUUUGGUUUUCUUUCCAAUUUUUUACAAUUUAACUUUACUUUUGGAAUCUCAUAUAUAAAUACUGCGUUUAAACUAAUUUUUCAUCCCUCUCCAGCUUUUCUGCUAACCUCCCCAUUUUUAUGUAUUGUUAUUAUUAGGUGAGUGUGAUGUGUGCACGGGAGGUUAGAGAACGCUUUCAGGGGCCAUUUCUCUCCUUACACCGUGAGAUCGAGGUAUUGAACCCGAGUUGUCAGGCUUGUGCGGUAAGCCCUUUCCCCAUGGGCCUGUCUUACUAGACCACACUUUUUGCACUUAAUAAUACAGCACCAACCGUUUUCUGGUAUAUUUGGUUAGGAUUUCAUUCUCUAAGAGUUCCUCUAUCACUACUCGCCCGUACUGCAAGGGACAAGACAUCUAUGAACAUCUGUAAUUGAAGUGAGAGAAUGCAGAGACUUUGAGGGACAGACGCUCUUUUAGAAGGCUACAGGGUUGUCCUGUUAGAAACUGGAUGAAUGGGCUGCUGACAUGGGGUGGUGGAGUUGAAGGGGAUGGUGGAGUCAGAUAACUAGGAGAGGUAUAUUCAAAGACUCGGGACCAGAAGGUAGGAUGUACCCUCUGAUGUAGACAUCAGUACGAAGUGACAGAAUAAAUGCUCUACCAUUUGUGUAACAGUUGACUAAACACUGAACCACAGCACCCUAGGGUUGAAAGGUCUUAUCAAUUUGUCGUUUCAGUAGUUUUUUAUGAUGUUUGCUGUAAACAGUGCGAUUGUUUUUUCUUCUAGAGUCACUUACUUCUUCUGCACUGGACUUUGAAAUACAGCGGAAGAAAAUAAUUUAGGAUUCAGGAUGAUACAACACAGGCUAAUCCUUAAAAACAUUUUCCAUUCUUUCCAAAGACAAGAGGUCCCAAGUCUGGCUAAGACUAAUGGUUCACUCAGACACAAAGCUUAGAACCACAGGAUCUGGGAUAAGAACCUGUUUUUCUUAUUUUUAGGUUGAAGAGGUUUUCUUUGUUUGUUUGUUUGUUUUUUCUCUAGCAUGUCAUGAAGCCAAAUAUGCUUUUUUUUUUUUCAAAAAUGCAGUUUGUCUCAAAGCCUCUGUGGUUAAACAUCUCCCUUUAGUGAUCUUUACAGCAUCUCAAUGACGAAAGAAGCUACAAGAUCGAGC